AUGGCCAUACAGCCCAGAAAACACACAACAACCCUGCCCUCCCCCUUCCACCAUACAGGAAUAAUCCAAGCUCUCCCAAGAGAAGACCAUCCAAAGGAGACUACACCAGACUCCUACUGUCUAACCAUCCAGAAGUUCUAUCUAAUAUUUAGGUGGAAUCUCUUUUCCUCGAGUUUGUAUCCAUUGCUUGUGCCUUGGAGCGGCAUUAAACAAGCUUGUAACAUUCUCAAUGUGACAUGCUUUCAGAUAAUUAAACAUGGCUAUUAUGUCUCCACUCAACUUUCUCUUCUCCAGGACAAACAUACCCAGCUCCCUAAGUUGUUCCUCAUAGCAUUUGGCUUCCAGACCUUUGACUAUUUUAGUCGCCUUGCUCUGGACACAUUCCAGCUUGUCCAUAUCGUCGUUGGAUCAUGGGCCCAAGAACUGGCACAGUCUUAUUCCAGAAACACCAGGCUAAACCAGUAAAUCCUCGUCCUCAUCCUCAGAGUCCUCAUAGGCCUCAAGAGCUACACAGACGACAGAGGACUGGAUUAUAAAAGUCUUAGAGAUGAAUAAAUUAACUUUAGUCCUACAGCAAACUAAUUUGCAGAAUCUACAAGAAGAAUGGAAACCUUUUAUAGACUUUGUGAAAAACCAAAAGAAGAUGACCACAAGAGUAUUUGAUAAUUUGUCUCUGUUUCACACUAUACCGUCUGAUCUGUAAAUGCUGGGUUAUCUGUAACCUUAUUGUCUCCUCCACGUUACUUUCAUAAGAAACUAUAACAGAAAAAAUGCACAUUGUGACACUGAACUGCUUUUAAAAAUAGAAGUAUGUAUAGCAAUAUCCCCUCUUCAAAAUUCUUGAAUGUACAUUAGACUUAUGGAUAGACAGAACUUACUAGCAAUAUUCCAUCAACAACGUAUUAUACUUUCCUUGCCCUUUCUACCCAUUUUUAUGGUAUAAAAGUGUGACAAUAAAAUAAAAAAUGUAUGACUAAAAGACCCCCAAAAAUCCACCAUUUUAAAAAAAUACACAACCCAAACACUCUUGGCAGAUGGCCAUGCUUGAAAACCUCCAGAAGUUUGUCUAGUUUCUCCGCAGCUGCCCUUCCAAGUCCUACACAUAACCAUAAUUCAUUUAAUAAAUGCAGUGACAUUUCCAUCCUCUAAAGUCCAUAGGAUUUAAAUAAAUAAGGAAAAGGCAGAGUUGCUGGAAUGGGAGCCAUUCCUGGGAUCCUAUAGCUGUAUACAUCCUCCGCCCUUCCUCCCUCGGUGAUACGUACUCCCUGUUCUUUUUGUCCUUUUCUAUAAACGGCUACUUGCCUUUGAGCAAACCUCAUCUCCAAAAAAACAAAACACAGAGCCCCUGCUCCAAAGACUUGGGCCCUCCCGAUUUCUAGGACAUUGGUGAUUGAUUAGGCCCUGGAAGGGAUCCAAGAUAACACUUUGAGAGGAAUUAAAAACACCUCCUUGCUCACACAUCCGGUGCGGCUCAUGUACCUGAACAGCCGGCGCUUCCAACUUUGGGACGCAGUUUCAAUAACACACUCUUUCUUUUAAUGCGCUCCCUCCCACCUGCCCCUUCCUUUGCCCUCGACCUGGAGAUGCAUUUGAAGGCCAGCCAGAUUGGCUUUGAUGGAACAUAGCUUGAUGCAGCUCCACACAACAGCUGAAAAGCCCCACGCCUUUCCAGACGCCGAUUUUUGUUCCUGGGUUUUUAUUUAUUGUGUCAGAAGCAAAUUGAGAAUACAGUUAAAAUGUAUAGAAAAUCCACAAAGUUAAAAACUUGGCAAUAUAUUAAAUUUCCUUUAACCAGAAUCUGGCCACUUGGAGUGUCUCUAGUGUCGCUGUGAGAAUAAUAAUAAUAAUAAUAAUAACUUUAUUUUUAUACUCCACCUCUAUCUCCCCAAAGGGGACUCAGGGCGGCUUACAUGGGGCCAAGCCCAAAUAAAAACAAUAGUAAUAUAAAACACAACAAUAGACAAAAAACAUGCACAAUUAUAAAAAUGUAAACAUUAGCCAGUAAAAACAAAUGACAAGAACUAAUAAAAACACGGAUUAAAACGGAGAGGUUGUAAAAGUAGACUGGGUAAGGUGCACCAUAUAAAUAUUGUAAACACGAGGUGACUGAUAAAGUGCUGCAAAUUCUUGGAAGUGCAAAUUGGGAUGGGAAUAGACCAUGUGUCUUUAUCAAGUUGACAAAGGUAAAAAGUGCAAACCGGUACAGGAAUGGUUACAGAUACAGAUUGCUUCUGGAUUAGUAAUCUUUAACUAAAGACCUGAGUAAAGAGCCAGGUUUUCAAGCUCUUUCUGAAUGCUACCAGGGUGGGGGCUUGCCUGAUUUCCCUGGGGAGCGAGUUCCAGAGCCGGGGGGCCACCACGGAGAAGGGCCUCUCUCUCGUCCCCACCAGCCGCGCUUGUGACGGAGGUGGGAGCGA
ensembl:lncRNA